ensembl:lncRNA novel transcript
UUUCGGAGCUCCAGCCUGCCCCUCCUGACGCUCUCAGAGUCUGGCCUUCUGCUGGGCCCCGGGUCUCUCACUGGCAGAAUGGAGUUCUCGGAGCUGAUCCAUACGGGCUGAGCCCAAGCAGAGUUUCUACGGGGCCCGGAGGCGCCCCCGCUUCGCGGCACGACCAACGCGUGGCGGCUGAGCGAGGUGAACGAGGACUUCAGCUUGUGCCCCAGAUACCCCCGUGCGGUGAUCGUGCCAUACUUGGUGGACGAUGAUGCCCUGGCGCGCAGCGCCCGCUUCCGUCAGGGAGGUCGCUUCCCGGUGCUCAGCUACCACCCGGCUCCCAGCGGCAGAGGGAGCGCGCCCUCCCCACGCUCCGCCCCUGGGUGGCUGCGUCCUUUCUGGGCCUUUUCUUUUUGGCCCGGUCAAUUCGCGGCGUAGCCGCUGCCCCAACUCCUGCCCCAUUCUGGUCCCGCCCCUCUCCCGCCUUUUCGCUGGGAAGGGUAUCACCUUUCUCUGGCCCCGCCCCUGACGGUUCCGGGCCCCGCGAAGCUUAGUCCCUUCUUUGUCAAGCCAGGACCCGCCCACGGUCUAUUCAUAGGGUCCCAAACCACUUUGGCCACAACACCCCCAGACUGGUCCGAAGCCUCGUGAGUUCGCCCUGGUCGUUGCACUCCAGCCUGUCGCUGUGCAGACCUGGCUUAGAGGACCCCUAAGGCUGAGGGGUCACUUCCAGAACUGAGUCCGGUCCGCAGGUUCUGCUACGCUCCAGCCAGCCCCUAACUGGUCCCCAGAAGCGGCGCUGCUACAGGGACCAGGAGCUGCUGCGAACUGCGCUGGCGGGGGCUCGUCCUUGGGCGCGGGGCUUCAUCAUGGACACGCUCUCGGCCCAGGCCGCGAAACAAGCCCGCGUGACUGGCGGAGGCACAGAGACCAAGGCCGCUUAACCUGGCUGGUUGCACUGGUCCCUGGAGAGCACUGAGCACAGGGGCUGCCACAGUGGCCGGCUCAGACAUGGCAGAGAUCAGCAGAGAAUGGGCAAUCAGGCUCCCCUGAGAUGAGCAGCAGCGCAGAGGAGGUGCCCCUCUCUUACUACACCAACUUCAGAGGGCGUCCCCUGCAGGAGAGCUUCAUGCGCCUGGUGGAGGCCUGUGGGGACUCGGAGCAAAGCAUGGACAACUGGCUGAGUCGGCUGGACGGCUGCCGCUGACUGUAACAUGUAAAGCAGGCACUGAGCACCACCUGCCUGGCAGUCCAGGGCAUGGAGAGGCACAGACAGCACCCUGCUUGUGACUUCACUGGCCCAACUCAUCCUGGACCCCUUGAGCAAGACCAUGGCUGGAUUCCAGGAACUGGUGGAGUGGAAGUGGAUCCAGGAAAAUGCCGUGUGAAGGGAGGACUCAGAUGCACUCCCUGUGGUCUGGGCUCAACCAGCCAAAAGAGCAACAAAGACUCCAGAACCCACUCUACCUCCUCAAUCCCUUGGCCAUCUGUGGAGCCCCAGAGCCUGCGGCUGUGGCAAGGCCUGUUUCUGCGCUGGACCUGCUCACCUGAGCCUGCAGAAGCUGCAUGGGGGAAGAGUGUGGCAAAUAGUGACAGGAAGGGAGAAGACAGAAGCCUCUCAGCCAACUGCUUCAGCCGAGCCCCUAUUCUAAGCACUGGCUCCUUGGAUAGCAGCUGAGAUGUUCCUGAAACCUCUGCAGGCCCCUUAGGACCUUUACACCUUGGAUGAGGGUGCCUGCAACCCAGGUUAGCCAAAAGUACUGAGGGUCUUAAGUUUGAAGUGUCCAAAGUAUAGGGAGGUCUCAAUAAUAAAAGUCUCCAUGAUCA